rnacentral:rRNA from 1 species
GAUGAACGCUGGCGGCGUGCCUAAUACAUGCAAGUCGAGCGAACGGACGAGAAGCUUGCUUCUCUGAUGUUAGCGGCGGACGGGUGAGUAACACGUGGAUAACCUACCUAUAAGACUGGGAUAACUUCGGGAAACCGGGGCUAAUACCGGAUAAUAUUUUGAACCGCAUGGUUCAAAAGUGAAAGACGGUCUUGCUGUCACUUAUAGAUGGAUCCGCGCUGCAUUAGCUAGUUGGUAAGGUAACGGCUUACCAAGGCAACGAUGCAUAGCCGACCUGAGAGAGUGAUCGCCCACACUAGAGCUGAGACACGGUCCAGACUCCUACGGGAGGCAGCAGUAGGGAAUCUUACGCAAUGGGCGAAAGCAUGGCGGAGCAACGCCACGUGAGUGAUGAAGGUCUUCGGAUCGUAAAGCUCUGUUAUUAGGGAAAAACAUAUGUGUAAGUAACUGUGCACAUCUUGACGGUACCUGAUCAGAAAGCCCCGGCUAACUACGUG